rnacentral:rRNA from 1 species
AGCUCCAAUAGCGUAUACUAAUGUUGUUGCAGUUAAAAAGCUCGUAGUCGGAUUUCAGUAUUUGAAAUGCAGCUCUACCAGAGUCAGCAUAUCGAUACUUCUUUGACAGAAACUUUCAUCUCCUUUAUUGGUGGUGUUUGGGGACUGUCUCUUUUACUUUGAGAAAAUUAGAGUGUUCAAAGCGGGUUAUCGCCAGAAUAUUACUCUUGGAAUAAUACUAUAGGA